GGCGGUAUAGCUCAGUUGGCUAGAGCACUCGGUUCAUACCCGGGGUGUCACUGGUUCAAGUCCAGUUACCGCUACCA
rnacentral:tRNA from 1 species